rnacentral:lncRNA from 1 species
UGCUGAUAUGUUCUUUUUAAUGGCAGUUUUACCCUUACCUUUCCUAUAACACAACUCUCUCUCUAUAUCUCUCCCCUCUCUCCUAAUUCAUUUGUCCUCUCUUUUACAUAAUUUUUGUCUCCAUCGUUUGUAUGUUCUCCAGUCUGUGUCCAAUGACUUUUUAGUCUUGGCGUUGUGUCUUUUUAUGUUUUCCUUUUGUUUCUUUGUUCCGGUAGAUCCGGUUCUUCUUUUGUUAGAUUUUUGGUCCUAUCUUGUAGAUCUACGGUUAUCUGAAUAUUUGAAGGUUUUAUCCUCCCAUGGCCGAGAUUUGUAUUAAUCUUCAUCCUUGGAUCCACUAAAGUUUUGCGAUGAAAGCUUCUUGCCUUCUCCAGCUUCCCCUUUUAGACUCUUGGGUCAACUUCAGGAUUCUCCGAUGAUUUGAAGUCAUAGAUGCAUGAACGAAGUAUGGUUGUGUUUGGUCUUUGUUGGCCUUGGUUCUGUAGAAGAGUGAGACUUGCACAAGGAAACUGUGUGUUUUACAUCGACCUCAUAACUUUUGGGAGAAGGAAGUAAUGGUGUAAAGCUCUUCGUCUUUCUUCUUCUGUCUUUUUCAAAUGACUGCUAAUAAAAUAAUUAGCUCAACAUAAAAAGUUUUAUCCAACUAACAAUCAUAGUGUCUGGAUAAUUA